rnacentral:misc_RNA from 1 species
AAUAAUGGCAACAGCUCACCUGCCCAGCCUCGCGUCUUCUCUACGCGUAGAACACCUCCGCCUCGUCUCCCUACUUCUCUUCCCCAGCGCAGCUCAAUGGUGCAGCCGGAGCAACAUAUUGUCUACGCCAUUCACGAGUAUGCGAUUCCCGGCAGCGGCUUUUUGCGGCUAAAGGCGGGGGACGUCAUGUACGUCGAUGAGGCCGACGCAAGCGGUUGGUGGCUGGGCACAAACCUCCGCGGGCAAAAAGGCGUGUUCCCCUCCACAUACACGCUCCCCUAUGUCUUUCCCCCUCCCGCAGAGGACAUUCUGCGAGAUAUGCGGCUGAUUCUUCUGGGCCGCCGGUUUGGGGUGGAUGUGGCUAGCGGAGCCCCCCUUCCACUGCUCGAGCGCUUUGAGGCACACGUCUGCGAUGCCGAUACGCCCCUGCCACCGCUUGCCCUUUUACGCAAGACCGUCGACGAGUGCCUCCUCGGCCGCGAAGCGGCGCGCGCGCGUGUGAUGGAGCUGCUCUCACAGUUAAUGGAGAUCCGCGCAUGCGAGCGUGAGGAGCGAGAAAGGGGCACGAACAGUUUCGCAGCCGAGCAGCAACAGGUGGUGGAGCGCCAAACCGCCCUGAGAGAAAUGCGUGCAACACUGGAUGCAUCGUUGUAUGCGCUUGCGGCGCGCAAGGCCGCGCUGCUCCAAGCGUGCAUAGUGCCGACCUUCACGUGGUACGAGCGGCUCCACAGCUUGUCCGUGGCAGCGGCUUCAUCGGCCAAGUCGCUUUCCUCUGAUGGGGCAUGGCGUUCCGCUCUCCGGGAUGUGAAAGAGGUAGUGAAGCGUCAAGAGGAGGAGCUGACCCGCCUAUCCACGAGCUGCGCGCAGCAGGAGGAUGUCUUUGCGCGGGCUGCGUCGUUGCUGCAAGCGCGCAUUGAGUGGCGGGACGGAAAUGUCGCUCGCAUGCUGGCUUACUGGGUGGCCAAGGCACGCGCCGCCAAGACCGCAUACACGGCCACCAAGGUGGAGCGCGACGCUGCCGAAUCAAGGAGGCAGCUGGAGGUCGCGCAGCUUCGCCAUCGUCUGGAGGAUGGUCGCGAGCGAUUUCUGAAAACAAGAGAGCAGUACCGACAGCUUAAGCGACGCGCAGAAGAAAUUGCCGUGGCGUUGCAGCGAAAGGACUUACUCGACUACCUGUCGCGGCAGAUCGCGGGAGCUGACGUCGCCAUUGCGACGCAUCAAGAAAGGCAACGCCGUCACCCGGCCACUUUCGCAUAGAAAGACGGGAUCUAGUGAAGACAGAAACUCGAUUUCCUGCGGUCUAUUACAUCAUAGAUGCCUCGGGGCUACUUAACCACAC